CAAAGGAUUAGAUACACAUAUAUGUUCAGAAUAUUCAGAAUCAGAUCUCAUCAUACAAAUCAACCCAAAGAAAUAUCCAAUUUGAAUAACCAAACAUUCCCUAAAACCACACCCAAGGUUAGCUACAUAACAUUGAUCCAAACUGUUUCACGCAAAAUUAAAAUCAUAAACAAACAUAACUAAGUUAAUUCAUUGAUCCACUUGAACAAAACAUAACAUCACAAAUUAAACAGAGAAAAUACCGAAACACGAGAAAAAUAUAAAAAGCGAUUGCAUUUUCAGGAUCCAUCUUCACUUGGCGACCAUUCUUGCGAUGAAAUCUUCAUAACGAAUCUUCCCAUCAGACCCAACAUCAACUUCCCUAAUCCAUUCAUCAAACUCAGCAGGCUCAAGCUUCUCACCAAUACUCGUCAAAAUAUGACGAAGUUCAUUCACAGAAACAAAUCCAGUUGCAUCUUUAUCGAGAACUUUGAACGCAUCCCUUAGUUGACGAUCGAACGGUUCAGGUUUCAUGUGUUUGGACAUGAGAUCGAGAAAGCGAGAGAAAUCGAAAGGGGAGGUUAGAUUCUCUUCGGCGACGAUGGAUUUGAGCUGGGCUUGGGUCGGGUUACCGCCGAGAGAACGCAUGAGGAUUCCAAGCUCCGAUGGUGCGAUAUUGCCGUCGUUGUCGGUGUCGAAUAGUGUGAAUGCUUCUUUCAUUGAUGAGAUUUGAUCGUCGCUUAGAUCCUUACCCAUUUUCGUUUGAUUUCGGGUUUGAGAUUUUUUGUUUUCUCGUUUAUAUUACAAACACUGUGAAAUGAAAUUGAAAAUGUUUUUCUCCUUCUUUUUCACUCCCUCC
rnacentral:lncRNA from 1 species